rnacentral:lncRNA from 1 species
GAACCUCACCGCCGACCACCACCAUCCGCCGCCAAAAUUCGUCCUCUCCGUUGCCUUUCCACGCGAUUUGAGCACCCCAGCGACUCCGCCUUGAGCUCCGCCACCGGUUGCACCCCCACGCACAAGCUAUAACCCACCCGCGCCCUCUACCGAGCCAUUUCCUUCCAACUCCGGCCAAAGCGCCGCCGGGAGCACUUCACCGUGGCCAGCUUCACCCCGCGCCUCCCCGCUGCUGUUUCUUGCUUCGUUGAAGUCACGGUGAGCUUCUGGUGCUGUUGCGCCGCUUACUUCACGCUCUACUCGCCUGAAGCAGCCGGCGUUGGCUCGGCCGCGGCGGCCAUCCGCCAUGAGCGUGGACAGGAGGGUAGGAGGGAGUAGAGGUGGUCUCGUGUGUCCUAGAGGUUGCGUGAGACACCGGAGAUGCUAACCCACCCCGCCGCGCAGGCCGGGAGCUCACCGGCGCGGAGCCGGAGCUCACCGGAGCGGUGGUGGGAGGUUGAAGACGCCUCUGACGGGCGGGACCCGCCCGUCAGUGGCCGCGUAAAAGAGAGAGCGCGCGCGGUCCGCGCGGGAGAGCACUCUCGGGCCAACUUGGGCCGGAUCCCAGCGGGCCGCCAGCGUGGCACAGUGCCCUUUUCUUUUUUUUCUUUUUGUUUAAAAGUGCUUAAUGUUUGAAUUUGAAUGGUGAAUUCUGUGCUGAUCCAAAAAUAAUGAGAAUUUUUGUACAAACUCUCUGAAAUAUGUAGGAUCCAAGAAAAAUACUAGGUUCUGCUUUCUAAUGGUUUGCAAGGAUAUAAAAAAAUUGGCUCUUUUAAUUAGCAAAUAAAACUUUGAUGAAUUUUAGUAAUUUAUUAGGGUGUCCAAAAAUCACCAAAAAUUGUGGGGAGCCUCUGGAUAUUAUUCCCUGGCUCCACCCAAAAUUUGGUGGCAUUUGGAUAAUGUUUGUUUAAAAUAUUAAUAAACCCUUAUUUAGCACUUAAAUAAUAAUUCCAAAAUAAGUAGAUAGUGAUUAAUUAAAUCCUCAUAAUUAGGGUUGAGUGAUUUUGGGAUUGUGUGAUGACCUGAGGUCAUUAACCCUAAUGACCUUGGCACUUAAUUAUUGUUUAGCCUUAAUGCUUAAUUACUGUCAUUAGUAGUUAAUUAAGAAUUGAUUAAGGUAAAUAGGAUUAAUAAUUAGUUAAUUCAGGAUAAUUAGGAAUUAAAAGGAGUUUUAAUUUACUGAUGCAAUCUCUUGGGUAAAAACAGUAAAUUGUUAAACAACUUUAUUUAGUGACAAUUCUGUAUUGCAUUAAAAAGGCAAAUCGUACUUAAUUCGGUCCAUCUUGCAUAACUGCCAUACGCAUAUCAUAAGCAUUC